rnacentral:rRNA from 1 species
GAUGAACGCUAGCGGCAGGCCUAAUACAUGCAAGUCGAACGAGAUUAAGAGGCUUGCUUCUUAUGAAAGUGGCGCACGGGUGCGUAACGCGUAUGCAACCUACCUUAAUCAGGGGGAUAGCCCGAAGAAAUUCAGAUUAAGACCGCAUAAAAACACAGGAUAGCAUUAUCCAAUGUUCAAAUAUUUAUAGGAUUAAGAUGGGCAUGCGUGUCAUUAGCUAUUUGGCGGGGUAACGGCCCACCAAGGCGACGAUGACUAGGGGAUCUGAGGGGAUGACCCCCCACACUGGAACUGAGACACGGACCAGACUCCUACGGGAGGCAGCAGUAAGGAAUAUUGGUCAAUGGAGGGAACUCUGAACCAGCCAUGCCGCGUGCAGGAAGACAGCCCUCUGGGUCGUAAACUGCUUUUAUUCGGGAAUAAACCUUUCUACGUGUAGGAAGCUGAAUGUACCGAAGGAAUAAGGAUCGGCUAACUCCGUGCCAGCCGCCGCGGUAA